AGUAUUUUAAUGUUAUUUCAGAUGCGGCAAGAGUUGGACAAAAGUAUAGCUAGGGAACUGGGUGAAGCUGGAUUUACUGAUGGAUCCUCAAAAAUGACAAAUCCGAAUGAGGAUCCAGUUUCCCUAGAAACCCAAGAAUACUUAAAGAUUUUUAAGAAAAAUUACUAGCCUUAAAAGAAGAAAUAAUGUUAAUUUUGAAAUAAACUAUGUUUAUAUAAUAUUUAAUAAUUUUCUAUUAAAUAUAUAAAUGAGAAACAAAUCUAAUAUGUUAGAAAAUAUAUCAUAAGUUUUUAACUUAUUUUAAGUUACAGUACACUUACAUUUUUUUUGUUUUUAAACUUUAAACGAAUCAAAUACUUCAUUUGCUUUGCAAGUUUUAUGAUAACAGUGCUUUUUUUGUGAAGUCUUUAAUCACAAAACCUAGGUUGAUUCAAAUCCUGAUUUUGCUAUACAGGGUUGUUCGCACCACUACUUGAGGAUCAAAUCUGGCUGCUGCUUAUUUUUGUACUGCAUGCUAAGAAUGGUUUUUUCCUUUUUAAAUAAAGUCUUAGUGUAUUUAUUGCAAAAAAGCAUUCUUAAUUCUCUAGCCAAACAACACUGGGGAUUGUUGGUAUUUAGCCAGCUUGCUGUAGUUUACCAACCCUUGAGUUAAACUGUCCAUGGAGGAAAUUUCUACAUCAGGGAGUUCCUGUGAUGAUGAAAUCACGGGUCUGAGCCAAGUAUUUAUGCACAUCUGCAUUUUUUUUUUAGCGUUGAUGCUUCUGAAGUUAUUAAAGCUUAAAACUGCUCUGAGAA